rnacentral:tRNA from 1 species
UCUAAUAUGGCAGAAUUAAUGCAUUGAAUUUAAGCUUCAAUUAUAAAUUUUUUAUUUUUUUAGAA